rnacentral:rRNA from 1 species
GAGUUUGAUCAUGGCUCAGAUUGAACGCUGGCGGCAUGCCUUACACAUGCAAGUCGAACGCGAAAGUGGGGGCAACCCUGCGAGUAGAGUGGCGAACGGGUGAGUAACACAUCGGAACGUACCCAGGAGUGGGGGACAACCUCGAGAAAUCGAGGCUAAUACCGCAUACGUCCUGAGGGAGAAAGCGGGGGAUCUGCAAGGACCUCGCGCUCAUGGAGCGGCCGAUGUCGGAUUAGCUAGUUGGCGGGGUAAAAGCCCACCAAGGCUACGAUCCGUAGCUGGUUUGAGAGAACGACCAGCCACACUGGGACUGAGACACGGCCCAGACUCCUACGGGAGGCAGCAGUGGGGAAUUUUGGACAAUGGGGGCAACCCUGAUCCAGCCAUGCCGCGUGAGUGAAGAAGGCCUUCGGGUUGUAAAGCUCUUUCGGCCGGAACGAAAUCGCGCCCGUGAAUAACGUGCGUGGAUGACGGUACUGGAAGAAGAAGCACCGGCCAACUACGUGCCAGCAGCCGCGGUAAUACGUAGGGUGCGAGCGUUAAUCGGAAUUACUGGGCGUAAAGCGUGCGCAGGCGGUUCUGCAAGUCAGAUGUGAAAUCCCCGGGCUUAACCUGGGAACUGCGUUUGAAACUACGGAGCUAGAGUGCGGCAGAGGGGGGGUGGAAUUCCACGUGUA